rnacentral:rRNA from 1 species
ACAUGACUACAACAUAACGUUAAUGCACCAGAUCCCAUUAGAACUCCACAAUUAAGUGUGCUCAGGCUAGAGUAGUACUAGGAUGGGUGACCGCCUAAUAAGUCGUAGUGUUUUACAUGCC